GAUGAAGAACGCAGCGAAAUGCGAUAAGUAAUGUGAAUUGCAGAAUUCAGUGAAUCAUCGAAUCUUUGAACGCACAUUGCGCCCUCUGGUAUUCCGGGGGGCAUGCCUGUUCGAGCGUCAUUAUAACCACUCAAGCUCUCGCUUGGUAUUGGGGUUCGCGGUUCCGCGGCCCCUAAAAUCAGUGGCGGUGCCUGUCGGCUCUACGCGUAGUAAUACUCCUCGCGAUUGAGUCCGGUAGGUCUACUUGCCAGCAACCCCCAAUUUUUACAGGUUGACCUCGGAUCAGGUAGGGAUACCCGCUGAGCUUAAGCAUAUCAAUAAGCGGAGGA
rnacentral:misc_RNA from 1 species